CCCUUCUUGCUUGGUUGCUUCCCAAGCCUUCCUGCUGAUACCAUGUCAAUGAUUUUAAGAAGAAGCCUGGACUUUCCUCUAUUCUUUCCAAAUCACACCAUUGAGAGACAGAACUGCGGAGAGAAAAAAGAGAAAUGGAGCCAAUGCAGUGAAAUAUUAGCAGUUAGGGAAUCUGGUGAUUUAACAUGGCCCUUUAAAAAAUGCCUUGGAAGACGUGUCCACCAGCUGCUAGAUCAGAUACACGUUUUUCUUCAUCAGCUGAAGCACCAACAUCCUGGUCAAGCAUGGAUCGGGAGCCACUCAGAUCCCUUGGCUUUGUGCUUCCUUUCAGCCCAUAGCCUGUGGCAUUUGCUUCCAAACAUCAACUGAAGCACAGGGAAAUUUGCAGUGUUUUUAACAGUAUGUGCGAAGCUCCAGGUGCCCUGACGGUGUAGCAAAGAACUUAACUUAAGAGACUGUUGAGGAAUAAAUGGCAAAGUUGUGGCCUUGGCCAACAGAACACUUGCUCUCAAACUAUGGCCUAAUUCACCAAGAAGCCUCAAGUCAAAGUCAAAAUACAGAAUUUCAGAAUCUUUGAGGAAGGUAGUAGGUGUUUGCUUUCAAAAAAAAAAACUUAAUUAAAAAAAGUAAUUUGAAAUGAAUCAUAUACAUACCUAUAAAGGCCAAACUAUAAAAC
rnacentral:lncRNA from 1 species